rnacentral:rRNA from 1 species
CAAACGACUCUCGGCAACGGAUAUCUCGGCUCUCGCAUCGAUGAAAAACGUAGCGAAAUGCGAUACUUGGUGUGAAUUGCAGAAUCCCGUGAAUCAUCGAGUCUUUGAACGCAAGUUGCGCCCGAAGCCAUUAGGCCGAGGGCACGUCUGCCUGGGCGUCACGC